rnacentral:rRNA from 1 species
GAGAUGUGGGUUAGUCCGCACGAGCGCACCUCACUUUUAGUUGCCAUCAUUAAGUUGGGCACUCUGAAAGAACUGCCAGUGAUAAGCUGGAGGAAGGUGGGGAUGACGUCAAGUCCUCAUGGCCCUUACGUGUUGGGCUACACACGUGCUACAAUGGCAUCUACAACAGGAAGCAAAACGGCAACGUUAAGCAAAUCCCGAAAAGAUGCCUCAGUUCGGAUUGCACUCUGCAACUCGAGUGCAUGAAGCUGGAAUUACUAGUAAUCGUGGAUCAGCGUGCCACGGUGAAUGCGUUCCCGGGUCUUGUACACACCGCCCGUCACACCAUGGGAGUUGGUUCUACCUUAAGGCAAGGUUUUAGACCCUUGACCACGGUAUAGUCAGCGACUGGGGUGAAGUCGUAACAAGGUAGCCGUAGGGGAACCUGCGGCUGGAUUACCUCCUUUCU